rnacentral:rRNA from 1 species
UUGGAAACAGGUGCUAAUACCGCAUAACAGUUUAUGCCGCAUGGCAUAAGAGUGAAAGGCGCUUUCGGGUGUCGCUGAUGGAUGGACCCGCGGUGCAUUAGCUAGUUGGUGAGGUAACGGCUCACCAAGGCCACGAUGCAUAGCCGACCUGAGAGGGUGAUCGGCCACACUGGGACUGAGACACGGCCCAGACUCCUACGGGAGGCAGCAGUAGGGAAUCUUCGGCAAUGGACGAAAGUCUGACCGAGCAACGCCGCGUGAGUGAAGAAGGUUUUCGGAUCGUAAAACUCUGUUGUUAGAGAAGAACAAGGACGUUAGUAACUGAACGUCCCCUGACGGUAUCUAACCAGAAAGCCACGGCUAACUACGUGCCAGCAGCCGC